rnacentral:rRNA from 1 species
UGGGGGAAUAUUGCACAAUGGGGCGCAAGCCUGAUGCAGCCAUGCCGCGUGUGUGAAGAAGGGCCUUCGGGUUGUAAAGCACUUUCAGCGGGGAGGAAGGUGGUGAACUUAAUACGUUCAUCAAUUGACGUUACUCGCAGAAGAAGCACCGGCUAACUCCGUGCCAGCAGCCGCGGUAAUACGGAGGGGUGCAAGCGUUAAUCGGAAUUACUGGGCGUAAAGCGCACGCAGGCGGUUUGUUAAGUCAGAUGUGAAAAUCCCCGGGCUCAACCUGGGAACUGCAUUUGAAACUGGCAAGCUAGAGUCUCGUAGAGGGGGGUAGAAUUCCAGGUGUAGCGGUGAAAUGCGUAGAGAUCUGGAGGAAUACCGGUGGCGAAGGCGGCCCCCUGGACGAAGACUGACGCUCAGGUGCGAAAGCGUGGGGGAGCAAAACAGGAUUAGAUACCCUGGUAGUCCACGCUGUAAAACGAUGUCGA